GACGAACGCUGGCGGCACGCCUAACACAUGCAAGUCGAGCGGAGAUUGAGAGCUUGCUCUCAUGAUCAGCGGCGGACGGGUGAGUAACACGUGAGCAACCUGCCUUUCAGAGGGGGACAACAGUUGGAAACGACUGCUAAUACCGCAUAAUAUUGUCGAACGGCAUCGUUUGGCAAUCAAAGGAGCAAUCCGCUGAAAGAUGGGCUCGCGUCUGAUUAGAUAGUUGGUGAGGUAACGGCUCACCAAGUCGACGAUCAGUAGCCGGACUGAGAGGUUGAUCGGCCACAUUGGGACUGAGACACGGCCCAGACUCCUACGGGAGGCAGCAGUGGGGGAUAUUGGACAAUGGGGGAAACCCUGAUCCAGCGAUGCCGCGUGAGGGAAGAAGGUUUUCGGAUUGUAAAACUCUAUCAGCAGGAAGAUAAUGAACGGUACCUGACUAAGAAGCACCGGCUAAANACGUGCCAGCAGCCG
rnacentral:rRNA from 1 species